GGAGAUGAGCCCAGCGCUGAAUCACCGAUUGCGUCAAUUGAUGACCCGGUGAGCUGUAGCGUAUAGGUGCAGCUAUCCUGGUGUUUUGUGCGCUCAAAGUCCCCUUGAGCGGGGCCACCGUCCAUAGAAGGUGCUAGACCUGUGCGGGCGACGAAUCACUGGGUGUGCUGUUCCUUGGAGUCGGGUUGCCUGAGAUCGCAGCCCAAAGUGGGUGGUAAACCUCAUCUAAGGCUAAAUAUGGCCACGAGACCGAUAGCAAACAAGUACCGUGAGGGAAAGUUGCAAAGAACUCUGAAGAGAGAGUUCAAGAGGGCGUGAAACCGCUGGGAUGGAAGCGAAUAGAGUCGACGAAACCUGUCUUCCAUCAUUCAACCGAUCAGCUCUGCGGUCUGUCACCGCGCUACCGUACGCAACACUGCGGAGUGUGUCGGUGGUGGUCACUGCUGAGUGGAGCUAGGCCUGUGUGAUCGGUGCAUUUGAUGGCGGUAUGCGCCGAGAGCCGCGUCACGGUGUGCGUCAACGUCUGCCUGGUGCAGUGGACCGUUGUACGUCUUCGGACGGGCGGAAACCUGCAUUCGACCGAGGCGCAUCACAGAUGCGGUGAACAGCCGUGUACAGCAGUCCCCAGGCGCUUGCCCGCGCCUUGCGCCUGUCGGCCUGACCGUGUGGCGGUGCGUACUGCGAGUGCUUCGCGGCGCGCAGUGCGUCCGUUUGCGGUCUGGCCACGGUCGUUUUGUGUGCGUUGGGACUGUGCCUCGGUGUGAGUGUCGAUCACCUAUUCGACCCGUCUUGAAACACGGACCAAGGAGUCUAGCAUAUGCGCAAGUUAUUGGGUGGUAAACCCGGAGAAAACGCA
rnacentral:rRNA from 1 species